ACCCGCUGAAUUUAAGCAUAUAACUAAGCGGAGGAAAAGAAACUAACAAGGAUUCCCCUAGUAAGGGCGACUGAAGCGGGAUCAGCCCAGAUUGUAAACUGACCUUAAUUAAGGUUGGGUUGUAGUCUAAAGAGGCGACGCCAGGCAAGGUCCGGGGAGAAGUCCCUUGGAACAGGGCAUCGGAGAGGGUGACAAUUCCGUCUGUGCCUCGGACCGCGUCGUACGGUGCGUCUUCGACGAGUCGGUUUGCUUGGGAUUGCAGACCAAACGGGUGGUAAAUUCCAUCUAAGGCUAAAUACGGGUGGGAGACCGAUAGCGAACAAGUACCGUGAGGGAAAGAUGCAAAGAACUUUGAAAAGAGAGUUAAAAAGGGCCUGAAACUGGUAAGAGGGAACCGAACGGCAGAAGUGGUGAUGGGCGCGUAUUUUCCGCCGGGCUCUUGGCCGGCGUACUUGUGCGCGUCCGUAGGUCAGCGUGGGUUGGGGCGCGGGAGUCGUUCAUGGGAAGGUCUUCGGGCCAAUCUCGUGUUCAGGCCGCGCCUGAGACCUUCGGUGACGAAAUUCUUCCGUUCACCCCGUCUUGAAACACGGACCAAGGAGUCUAAAAUACGAGCGAGUGCGCCGGUGGCAACCCGGGGCGCGUAAUGAAAGUGAGACCGACGGUGGGAGGGCUUUACGUCCGCACCAUCAACCGACCAGGAUCCUUCGGGUGAAAGGUUUGAGUGUAGCUUGUAUUUUGGGACCCGAAAGAUGGUGAACUAUGCCUGAAUAGGGCGAAGCCAGGGGAAACUCUGGUGGAGGCUCGUAGCGAUUCUGACGUGCAAAUCGAUCGUCAAAUUUGGGUAUAGGGGCGAAAGACUAAUCGAACCAUCUAGUAGCUGGUUCCCUCCGAAAUUUCCCUCAGGAUAGCAGCAAUCGAAGAGUUUUAUCAGGUAAAGCGAAUGAUUAGAGGCCUCAGGGGUGGAACGUCCUUGACCUAUUCUCAAACUUUAAGUGGGUAAGAGUCAGGGGUUGCUUAAGUGAACCCCUCGGUCGAAUCGCGGUUGCUAGUGGGCCACCCGGGGUAAGCUCGGUUGGCGAUGCGGGAUGAUCCGAACGUCGAGUUAAAGUGCCUCACUGCCCGCUCACCUAGAUCCCACAAAAGGUGUUGGUUCAUUUAGACAGCAGGACGGUGGCCAUGGAAGUCGGAACCCGCUAAGGAGUGUGUAACAACUCACCUGCCGAAUGGAUUAGCCCUGAAAAUGGAUGGCGCUGAAGCGAGCGACUUAUACUCGACCAUCACGGCAAGUGCGACGCCGUGAUGAGUAGGAGGGCGUGGGGCUCGUGGCGCAUCCCGCGGCGUGAGCCGGGGUGAAACGGGCUCUAGUGCAGAUCUUGGUGGUAGUAGC
rnacentral:rRNA from 1 species